GCGGAAGGGCGGAUGGUCGCGCUCAAUUGAGUGAGGAAAGUCCGGACAUCAUUGAGUGAGGGAUGCUCACAUAAGUGAGACACUGUAAGGUGACGGAAAGUGCCACAGAAAAUAUACCGCCCUGCAAGAGUGGGGUAAGGGUGAAAAGGUGGGGUAAGAGCCCACCGGGUUCCUGGCGACAGGAAUUGCAUGGUAAACCCCAUCCGAUGCAAUGCAAAUAGGGUAGGCUCGCUCACUCAGGCCUAUAACCCCGGGUAGCUGCAUAGAUCAAUGACCAUCGUGCAUAAUAUGCAUACAGAAUCCGGCUUAUAGCCCUUCCGCUUUU
rnacentral:RNase_P_RNA from 1 species